rnacentral:lncRNA from 1 species
AUUGACUUGGCCCGGGACCCCCAAACGAGCCCGUUCCCCUCAAAGUCCCGGGACCCCCAAAAUGGGGAGAGCCGGGACCCCCGAUAUGGGGGGAACCCAAAGCCCCAGGACCCCUGGGACCCCUGAAAUGGGGAGGGCUGGGACCCCCAGGAGCCCAGACAUGGGGGGGGGGAGGACCCCUGGGACCCCCGAAUUGGGGAGAGCAACGACCCCCGGGACCCCCAAUAUGGGGGAGAACCAGAGCCCCAAGACCCCCGGGACCCCCAAAAUGGGGAGGUUUGGGACCCCCAUUAGCCCUGAUUUGGGGGGUAUAAGGACCCCUGGGACCCCCAAAAUGGGGAGAGCCAGGACCCCUGAUAUGGGGGGGAUCCAGAGCCCCACAACACCUGGGACCCCCGAAUUGGGGAGGGCUGGGACCCCCAGGAGCCCUGAUUUGGGGGGUAUGAGGACCCCUGGGACCCCUGAAUUGGGGAGAGCAACGACCCCCGGGACCCCCAAAAUGGGGAGAGCCAGGACCCCCGAUAUGGGGGGAACCCAAAGCCCCAGGACCCCCGGGACCCCCGAAAUGGGGAGGGCUGGGACCCCCAGGAGCCCAGACAUGGGGGGGACAAGGACCCCUGGGACCCCCGAAUUGAGCCCCCGCGCUGGCACCCGGGGAUGGGGCCCCGCCCUCCCACUUCCGCCCUCGCCCCGCCCCUCGAACGCCAUUGGUCCGGCGGUUCGGCCCCGCCCCUCCCCCCUGCGCCCCCGAUUGGAUCCUUGGAGCUGCGUCACUUCCGGUGCUCGCCAGGCCCCGCCUCCUCCUGAACCUUCGGCUCCCUCACGUGACCCCUUCGCCGACCAAUGAACGACGGGGCAAGACGGAAGUCCCGCCUCCUGCACUGGACCAAAGCGGAAGUUCCGCUCUCAUCUAUAUCAGGGAAAAAACCGGAAGUUCCGCCCUCAAGGGGAGCGGGCCGUGUGCACUGAAGCCUUAACCCCGCCCCUAAAGUGGGCGUGGCCACAAACGAGCCAAUAAAAACACACCGCUCCUCCA